rnacentral:rRNA from 1 species
GUAACGGCGAGUGAACAGGGAUGUAGCCCAGCUCUGAAUCCCAUGGCCCCUGCCAUUGGGAAUUGUGGAGUUUAGGUCGGCCUCUGGGUCGUGGGUCCUUUCUGAAGUUCACUUGAUUGUGACUUUAGGUCCAAAGAGGGUGUAAGACCCGUACGGAUUGGACUCGCGUCUCCUGGGUUGUCCUUGGAGUCGGGUUGUUUGAGAGUGCAGCCCAAAGCAGGUGGUAAACUCCAUCUAAGGCUAAAUACUGAACACUAGUCCGAUAGUCGACAAGUACCGUGAGGGAAAGUUGAAAAGAACUUUGAAGAGAGAGUUCAAUAGUGCGUGAAACCGUCUAGAGGUAAACGGAUGGAGCCGAAAAAGACUGUGGGGAUUCAGCCGGACCGUGCUGCGGUGCUGUGCCGUCCAAAUCCGUAAGGAUUGGUGGUAUGGCGUCUGCGGCGUGGUCUGGUGCACUUUCUCGCGGUCUGCACCAGGACCGUUGUGUUGGCGGCCUGUCGUUGGGUGGUGGUAGCGACAGCUUCGGCUGUUGUGACAUAUGCCUGACACGGGAUUGCUGACGCAAUGGAAACUGCGAUGUGAGCCAUAAGGGCGUGAUUAGGCAUACUCGGCUGGCGACAUUUUUGGGCUGACUUCUCAAAAGAUGGCCUGAUGUGCUGCUGGCUAGGUGUGCAGUCUUCACUUCACAUCGAUAGUCUCUGGUGUUAAAGUAGGUAGUCCAACCGACCCGUCUUGAAACACGGACCAAGGAGUCUAGCAUAUGCGCAAGUCAUUGGGUUGUACUAAACCCAAAGGCGAAGUGAAAGCAAAAGUGCAUUUCGGUGUGCUUAGGUAUGAUCCAGGUUCCACAUUGUUGGGCCCGGCGCAAUACCGACCCGUCUCAGUGUGUAAUACUCAGGGGCGGCGUAAGAGCGCAUAUGCUGAAACCCGAAAGAUGGUGAACUAUGCUUGGACAGGUUGAAGCCAGAGGAAACUCUGGUGGAGGACCGUAGCGAUUCUGACGUGCAAAUCGAUCGUCAGAUCUGAGUAUAGGGGCGAAAGACUAAUCGAACCAUCUAGUAGCUGGUUCCCUCUGAAGUUUCCCUCAGGAUAGCUGUUGUACAUGAAACAAACAGUUUCAUCCGGUAAAGCGAAUGAUUGGAAGUAUUGGGGACGAAAUGUCCUCAACUUACUCUCAAACUUUAAAUGGGUGAGAGCUCCGGGUCUCUUAAUUGGACCCGGGGAAAAGAAUGUGUAUAACUAGUGGGCCAUUUUUGGUAAGCAGAACUGGCGCUGUGGGAUGAACCAAACACUCAGCUAAGGUGCCAAACAGGACGUUCAUGAGACACCACAAAAGGUGUUGGUUGAUAUAGACAGCAGGACGGUGGCCAUGGAAGUUGGAAUCCGCUAAGGAGUGUGUAACAACUCACCUGCCGAAUCAACCAGCCCUGAAAAUGGAUGGCGCUUGAGCGUUCGACCUAUGCUGGGUCCUGAUAGCUGUGUAAAGAUACCAAGAGAUUUCGCUAUCAGGAGUAAGAGGGUUGCCGUGGUGAGCGUUGAAGCUGCCGCCGUGAGGCGGGGUGGAGCCGCCACGGGUACAGAUCUU